rnacentral:rRNA from 1 species
CCAGCAGCUGCGGUAAUUCCAGCUCCAAUAGCGUAUAUUAAAGUUGCUGCAGUUAAAAAGCUCGUAGUUGGAUCUUGGGAGCGGGCGGGCGGUCCGCCGCGAGGCGAGCCACCGCCCGUCCCCGCCCCUUGCCUCUCGGCGCCCCCUCGAUGCUCUUAGCUGAGUGUCCCGCGGGGCCCGAAGCGUUUACUUUGAAAAAAUUAGAGUGUUCAAAGCAGGCCCGAGCCGCCUGGAUACCGCAGCUAGGAAUAAUGGAAUAGGACCGCGGUUCUAUUUUGUUGGUUUUCGGAACUGAGGCCAUGAUUAAGAGGGACGGCCGGGGGCAUUCGUAUUGCGCCGCUAGAGGUGAAAUUCUUGGACCGGCGCAAGACGGACCAGAGCGAAAGCAUUUGCCAAGAAUGUUUUCAUUAAUCAAGAACGAAAGU